rnacentral:lncRNA from 1 species
CGGCCGGAAGCGGCUAAAACUACUCCUGCCUGCAUACCCCGCAGGAGCAAAGCGCGCCAUGUCUCCCUCCAGGGAUCCGCACCGCUCACAAUCCUGUUAAGUGCUGGGAUUGUAGUCCUGCGAGCCUACGACUAAUAGCUGGAUUAACUCUUAAGUACUCCACAACUACACGCUUUUGAAACUGGCGUUGGCAUAGCGUUAGUUCUGUGCAGGGCGGACGCAGCAGGACAGAAUCUCCCUGGGCAUCUUUUCGGAGCAUCAAUUUUACUGCAAAAUUUUGAAAAAACAAAUUUAAUUGAUUUCCAAGGUUUGUCAAGGAGGACAGAAACUCAGAGCACCCUGCACUUGGGGAUCGGCACUAGGAGCUGCUCUCUGGAUGGGGAGAUGGGAGCUAGCAGCUCACAAUGGGGUCACAAGAAUAUUGGUUCUUCUUUUAUCUGAACUGAGGAGCACCAGAGGACUGAUCAUGGCAUAGACAUUCACUACAAGACUCUGAACUUGCUGGUUGAUUGGGCCAUAUGCCCACAACAUUGCUGAGGAGAAGGAGAUGAUGAAAUCCACCCAACAGAGGACCACAGAGAAACUUACCAGCAGCAGUAUGGUCUGGAUGGCCCAUUUCUCAGGGGAAGCUCCUGGGGAAGGACCAUUGCUGUGAAGGUGGUGGGAUCACCUCUGAGGCCUGAAUAAGAGAGUCACCAUGUAUGCAAUUAAGAACAGCAGUAUUCCUACCAGGAAAGCAUCCCUAAGUGUUGUCAGAAUAAGAAACGUGGCCCUGAGGAUGAAGCUCAUGGAGAAAACUGGGCAGUACUUACCUAUAUUCAGUACAUUUGUCUGGCUCACACUGGAAGCAGCUACAGUGUAGAAGAUCCUGUUACUACUGAAAGACAAGUUGAGGAACCAUAAGAAGAAGAAAACAUGGAUAAUGUAAUUUGAAGAUUUAUGUUUAAACCUUGCCAAUCAGGAGGUGCUGGGGCUGAUGGUGGUGGCCUGGAACACACUCAGGGGGCAGGUGGUGCAGAUGGAGAGGCCCCACAACACCCUGCUCAGGUGGAAAAGUGCCUUACACUUGAAGUCAUUCUGAAGUUCAAUGAUGCAAACAGGUUUGGAGACUGCAAUAACAGUGCAAUGAAGAAGUUCACUAUGUGGACGAGGGGCAAGGGACAGAUGAUCAAGUCAGUGGGUUUUAGUCUGUGAUACAGAAGGAGAGUGAAGAUGCUGAAGAGGAACAGAAAAGUAUUGGCUGAGAUUCCAACAGCAACUUGUAAAACAAAGCAGCUUUUUAAUAACAUAUAUGAUAUGUAUGUACAUUGUAGUGGCAAAGAGGAAACAUUUGUAUAUCUGAAAAAACAAGUUUAGACAUCUUCAGUGCUGUUCUAUAGUUAAAAUUAUCACAACUAUGAUUAUGUUUAUUUCUCCCAAUUAUUAAGACUUACAAUGUAAUAUAAAUUAUUAGAAAAUACUCCUUCAGCAUUACAUGUAUUUAUUUGCACAAUGCUUCAGUGUGUGUGUGAGACACUAUACAUAAAUGUAUAUGUCAGCAUUACACAUAUAUAUAGUCAGCAUUAAUUUUAUGCCAAGUAACAUAUAUAUAAUGUGUUUGUGCAUAAUCGUUUUUUUUUGUUUUGUAGGGACAGGAUCUUAUUCUGUUGCCCAGCCUGGUCUCAAGUCCAUGGGCUCAAGUAAUCCUUCUGCCUUGGCCUCCCAAAG